rnacentral:rRNA from 1 species
ACGCUAGCUACAGGCUUAACACAUGCAAGUCGAGGGGAAACGGCAUUAAGUGCUUGCACUUUUUGGACGUCGACCGGCGCACGGGUGAGUAACGCGUAUCCAACCUUCCCAUGACUAAGGGAUAACCUGCCGAAAGGCAGACUAAUACCUUAUGGUCUUCACUGACGGCAUCAGAUGUGAAGUAAAGAUUUAUCGGUUAUGGAUGGGGAUGCGUCUGAUUAGCUUGUUGGCGGGGUAACGGCCCACCAAGGCAACGAUCAGUAGGGGUUCUGAGAGGAAGGUCCCCCACAUUGGAACUGAGACACGGUCCAAACUCCUACGGGAGGCAGCAGUGAGGAAUAUUGGUCAAUGGGCGAGAGCCUGAACCAGCCAAGUAGCGUGCAGGAUGACGGCCCUGUGGGUUGUAAACUGCUUUUGUAUGGGGAUAAAGUCAAUCACGUGUGAUUGUUUGCAGGUACCAUACGAAUAAGGACCGGCUAAUUCCGUGCCAGCAGCCGCGGUAAUACGGAAGGUCCGGGCGUUAUCCGGAUUUAUUGGGUUUAAAGGGAGCGUAGGCUGGAGAUUAAGUGUGUUGUGAAAUGUAGACGCUCAACGUCUGACUUGCAGCGCAUACUGGUUUCCUUGAGUACGCACAACGUUGGCGGAAUUCGUCGUGUAGCGGUGAAAUGCUUAGAUAUGACGAAGAACUCCGAUUGCGAAGGCAGCUGACGGGAGCGCAACUGACGCUGAAGCUCGAAGGUGCGGGUAUCGAACAGGAUUAGAUACCCUGGUAGUCCGCACAGUAAACGAUGGAUGCCCGCUGUUGGUACCUGGUAUCAGCGGCUAAGCGAAAGCAUUAAGCAUCCCACCUGGGGAGUACGCCGGCAACGGUGAAACUCAAAGGAAUUGACGGGGGCCCGCACAAGCGG